UCUUUUCAUUGUGUGCCAGCAGCCGCGGUAAUACGGAAGGUCCGGGCGUUAUCCGGAUUUAUUGGGUUUAAAGGGAGCGUAGGCCGGAGAUUAAGCGUGUUGUGAAAUGUAGACGCUCAACGUCUGCACUGCAGCGCGAACUGGUUUCCUUGAGUACGCACAAAGUGGGCGGAAUUCGUGGUGUAGCGGUGAAAUGCUUAGAUAUCACGAAGAACUCCGAUUGCGAAGGCAGCUCACUGGAGCGCAACUGACGCUGAAGCUCGAAAGUGCGGGUAUCGAACAGG
rnacentral:rRNA from 1 species